AUAGGUUGGACUUACUUUUUGAUCGUACUGUGUACGUUUCUGUACACUGUCUAGGCAGCGAUCUACCUAUGCAUUGUGACGUCAUAAGCUUGCCAGGGACGUCAUGUUAGCCCUUCACAAGCCGCGAUGGCUGCUUAUUUUGACACAACAAUACAGACUUUCACAGCGCUGGAGACUUCAUGUAAACAACUAUUUCAGUACCAAAACUUCUGAACAGGUGAAUCCUGGAUCAGCCUAGAAGAUAUUUCACUGGAUUAUUUAUAGUAUGAAUAAUUCUAUACUGAGUAACCGGGUUACCUGGAUCAGCUGAGAUGUUGUUUUUCCUGGAUUAUUUAAUGGAUAUAGGCUUAUUGGGCAUAUAAUUGGAUAUCUGUCCUCAACAUGGAAGAUAUGGUUUAUUCCUACCCAUCUAUAAUCAAUUCUCUAUGAAGUUCAGCCUGUCUACUCUUCCUUGGGAAAUACACAGUCAGUCAACCAACAUAGAUACAAACUUGAAGGAUUCUCUUGUUAGGGCUUAUGGAAAUGAUCUAUGUCUACUCUUAGAUUGGUGAAAGACUAUCAGAUUAUGUAAAGACUAACAGAACAUCCUCUCUUUGAACACUGAAACAAGAAAACCAAACUUAAGAGGAUGGAGGAUUUAAGAAGAACAUAGAUAAAUAUGAUUUCCAACGAAUUUAACCAGUACGAUCAUAGACUGUGGUUUACAGGAUGGCAAAGAAAGUACCCAGGAUUGUAUCUUUCACUGUCAGACACUGUCUAUGGAUAAAGUGUAAUCAUUUAUCAAACUGAGAUCUAGUCAAAUCAAGUAUUGAAAAUAUGAUUUUCUGAUAGCAUGAGCUCUUUAUAAACUAAUUCUCACAGACCUCAAAGUAUCUGAAUGUGACUUUUAUUUUUACCAAUUCAUAUUGAAGACUGUUGUUAUGUAUGGGAAUUACACAUUAAAAACUUUUAUUUUUCAUAUAAUUUUUACAACCCCCUAGAAAUUACACAGAUAUCCAUAUGCUGGAUUUAAUGUUAUUAUUUAACUUUCCUGGAAUUGUAAAUAUAUUUUGUUUGUGUAUGUAUCAUGUUUAAUUUUGAAUUUAAAAUUGGUCUCAAUAAGACCCCCAAUAAAGAUGCAAGUGUCCCACAAUCUGUGGUUUAAUAAUAUCUUGAAUAUCUUUAUCAUACCAUAUUCCUCAUACUAAUUACAUAUAGAAU